ACUCCUACGGGAGGCAGCAGUAGGGAAUCUUCCACAAUGGGCGCAAGCCUGAUGGAGCAACACCGCGUGAGUGAAGAAGGGUUUCGGCUCGUAAAGCUCUGUUGUUAAAGAAGAACACGUAUGAGAGUAACUGUUCAUACGUUGACGGUAUUUAACCAGAAAGUCACGGCUAACUACGUGCCAGCAGCCGCGGUAAUACGUAGGUGGCAAGCGUUAUCCGGAUUUAUUGGGCGUAAAGAGAGUGCAGGCGGUUUUCUAAGUCUGAUGUGAAAGCCUUCGGCUUAACCGGAGAAGUGCAUCGGAAACUGGAUAACUUGAGUGCAGAAGAGGGUAGUGGAACUCCAUGUGUAGCGGUGGAAUGCGUAGAUAUAUGGAAGAACACCAGUGGCGAAGGCGGCUACCUGGUCUGCAACUGACGCUGAGACUCGAAAGCAUGGGUAGCGAAAAGGAUUAGAUACCCUGGUAGGAUAGCG
rnacentral:rRNA from 1 species